UUCCUUAGUAACGGCGAGCGAACUGGAAAGAGCCCAGCUUGAAAAUCGAGGCGCCUCCGUGCCCCGAAUUGUAGUCUGUAGAAGCAUCCUCUGCAGCGGACCGAGCCUAGGUUCUUUGGAAUGAGACGCCGGAGAGGGUGAGAGCCCCGUCCGGCUCGGACCCUGCUGCUUCACGAGGUGCUGUCGUAGAGUCGGGUUGUUUGGGAAUGCAGCCUCAAUUGGGUGGUAAAUCUCAUCUAAGGCUAAAUACUGGCAAGAGACCGAUAGCGAACAAGUACCGCGAGGGAAAGAUGAAAAGGACUUUGAAAAGAGAGUUAAAAGUGCUUGAAAUUGCUGGGAGGGAAGCGAAUGGAUGCCUUGUGUGCUUCCCGGUUGUGGUGGGACGGCUUGCUGGCCUGCCGAAACAAGUUGGGUUGCUAGCCAGCGUUGGCAACGGCGGUAGGACAAGAGCCGGUCGCUCUUCCGAGCUUCUGGCCUAUGCUACUGGCGCUGCCAGGGCCACAAGGGUGCGCGGCACUCGUGCGGCGGGCCUCCGGGCACCUGCACCCUUUGGAUGCUGGCAUUCGGGGCUUUCCAUCCGACCCGUCUUGAAACACGGACCAAGGAGUCUAACAUGUAUGCGAGUUGGUGGGUGAUAAACCCACGAGGCGGAAGGAAACUGAGUCGUGGGAUCCCUGCUGGCUUGCGGGGUGCACCACGGACCGACCAUGAUCUUUUGUGAAAGGUUCGAGUGCUAGCAUAUCUGUUGGGACCCGAAAGAUGGUGAACUAUGCCUGAGCAGGGCGAAGCCAGAGGAAACUCUGGUGGAGGCUCGUAGCGAUACUGACGUGCAAAUCCUUCGUCAGACUUGGGUAUAGGGGCGAAAGACUAAUCGAACCUUCUAGUAGCUGGUUCCCUCCGAAGUUUCCCUCAGGAUAGCUGGAGCUCCGUGCGAGUUUUAUCGGGUAAAGCGAAUGAUUAAAGG
rnacentral:rRNA from 1 species